AGUCGAGCGGUAGAGAGGUGCUUGCACCUCUUGAGAGCGGCGGACGGGUGAGUAAAGCCUAGGAAUCUGCCUGGUAGUGGGGGAUAACGCUCGGAAACGGACGCUAAUACCGCAUACGUCCUACGGGAGAAAGCAGGGGACCUUCGGGCCUUGCGCUAUCAGAUGAGCCUAGGUCGGAUUAGCUAGUUGGUGAGGUAAUGGCUCACCAAGGCGACGAUCCGUAACUGGUCUGAGAGGAUGAUCAGUCACACUGGAACUGAGACACGGUCCAGACUCCUACGGGAGGCAGCAGUGGGGAAUAUUGGACAAUGGGCGAAAGCCUGAUCCAGCCAUGCCGCGUGUGUGAAGAAGGUCUUCGGAUUGUAAAGCACUUUAAGUUGGGAGGAAGGGCAUUAACCUAAUACGUUAGUGUUUUGACGUUACCGACAGAAUAAGCACCGGCUAACUCUGUGCCAGCAGCCGCGGUAAUACAGAGGGUGCAAGCGUUAAUCGGAAUUACUGGGCGUAAAGCGCGCGUAGGUGGUUCGUUAAGUUGGAUGUGAAAUCCCCGGGCUCAACCUGGGAACUGCAUUCAAAACUGUCGAGCUAGAGUAUGGUAGAGGGUGGUGGAAUUUCCUGUGUAGCGGUGAAAUGCGUAGAUAUAGGAAGGAACACCAGUGGCGAAGGCGACCACCUGGACUGAUACUGACACUGAGGUGCGAAAGCGU
rnacentral:rRNA from 1 species